UACGAAGGGGGGCUAGCGUUGCUCGGAAUUACUGGGCGUAAAGGGCGCGUAGGCGGACAGUUUAGUCAGAGGUAAAAGCCCAGGGCUCAACCUUGGAACUGCCCUUGAUACUGAGGAUCUCGAGUUCGGGAGAGGUGAGUGGAACUGCGAGUGUAGAGGUGAAAUUCGUAGAUAUUCGCAAGAACACCAGUGGCGAAGGCGGCUCACUGGCCCGAUACUGACGCUGAGGUGCGAAAGCGUGGGGAGCAAACAGGG
rnacentral:rRNA from 1 species